CCUACGGGGGCAGCAGUGAGGAAUAUUGGUCAAUGGGCGCAAGCCUGAACCAGCCAAGUCGCGUGAGGGAUGACGGUCCUAUGGAUUGUAAACCUCUUUUGUCGGGGAGCAAGGCCCGCCACGUGUGGCGGGAAGGAGAGUACCCGAAGAAAAAGCAUCGGCUAACUCCGUGCCAGCAGCCGCGGUAAUACGGAGGAUGCGAGCGUUAUCCGGAUUUACUGGGCGUAAAGCGCUCGUAGGCGGUAUGUCAAGUCAAGGGUGAAAUCCCCGCGCUCAACGUGGGAACUGCCUUUGAAACUGGCAAACUGGAGUGUGUGAGAGGAUAGUGGAAUUCCAGGUGUAGGAGUGAAAUCCGUAGAUAUCUGGAGGAACAUCAGUGGCGAAGGCGACUAUCUGGCACAUAACUGACGCUGAGGAGCGAAAGCGUGGGUAGCAAACAGGAUUAGAUACCCCAGUAGUC
rnacentral:rRNA from 1 species